UGUACUACAAAAUUUAAAAGUAACCAUAUAAGAUUUACAACAUAUUUCUUUCCAAAAAAGGAAACAUCAACCAUUACUCGUGGUGGCUUAGGUUCGUAUCCACCACCGUCUCUACCUCCGCGUCUCCGUCUUCAGACGCCGAGCUACCUCUAUCAAUAUCCUUCUCCGGAGAAUCAAGCUGAACGCACUCGGGAGCUUCAUCAACGUUUUGCCUAUCCUCCACAUCUUGAUUAUUCCUCCUCAAACUCUCCCCUCUAACAAGAUUCAACACGAAUCCAUUAUGCGUCCUCCCCGUCUGCAGAUAAUCCCCUUCCGCCACCGUGAUGCUCCUCGACGAAGCGUCCCCGUUCAAAUCAACCCCCGGAUCAGCACCGUCGAGAUUCUGAACGUAGUCCAUGAACAUCUGAGCAGACGUGGUCCUCUCCAACGGUCCGCCAGACCUAGUCCAGUCUCCAGCCUCCGGGGAAUCUCCGUCGUGCGAGCUGUUGCAGUUACCGCCUCGGUGGACGACGAGUUGCUGGUAGAGCAACGCGGCUUCGGCGAGGACGUCGUCGUCGACGGAUCCGGCUGAGUUCUCGCGCGCGAUGCAGUUCCAGGAAGGGAUUCUUCUGGAGGCGCUGAAUCUGGUGGGGCCUACGGGUAGAGGAUGUUGGGAGGAGGAUGAGACGGAGACGGAGGCGGAGGCGGCGGCUGCUGCUCUUCGUGCGGUGCGUUUGAUGCGGCGCAUGUGGUUGAGGACGGCGACGCACUCGUCGAGGGCGAGUUCGAUGCCGAAGUUUGCUUUGAUGACGGCGAGCUUCUCCCAGGUGCAUCUCCUUCCUUGGUUUGCUGCCUUUUGAUGAUCUUUAAUCUUGGUAAUGAACUGUUCCGCUUUGGCUCGGUUUGGUUCAGUUCGGUUGAGUUAAAUUUCGAAACCCUAUUGAUGAUGAUACACGUAUAUAAAAAAUAGAUAAGAGCUGGUAUUAUAUAGAUUUCAUGUGUAACUAAGGUUAAAGAUUUCUUGCAUUGCACGUACUGAAACUUUCUUUCAGGACUUCGACGGCGAUGAACUGAUGUGUUGUGUUGCACAAAUAGAAAAAUUACUCAAUUAAUAACUUUUGGUUUUUUUUGUGUGGUUUUCUUUCAUCCAUGAUCCAAACUCAUUAUUUCACAUAAAUAUAUAUUUUGAAAAUAGUAACUUUGACUAUAAUAAAUAAUAGGGAUUUUAUUAGUAACCCACCAAUUGAGAAAAAAUGAUAUCAUUAACUUGUUUUGUUUGGGCUAAGAGGAUUGACACGAUCAUUAUGCGAUUUUGCAUGAAUUUACUAUGACAUAUAUGAUAUAUGUCUAUAACGGCCAUUUAAGUUCAGCAAUUCCACAAAUGCAAUGAAUCAAAAGAUUUUAUCAUUCUAUAGGCCACCAUUAGGUUUUUUUCCUAUCAUGGUCUUACCUCACUUUCCUCAUUUGGAGUUAGAUACAAUGAAAACCCUUGGUGCAAAAAUAGUUCCUUUUGAGUACUCCUAUACAAUGAACGAACAUGCAUAUUGAUGCAAAUGGAAAAUAAAUAAUGGAUAGUGUCUACAAAUUCAACACUUUGUCUUAACUUUCUUUUUCUUUUUAAUCACAGAAACAUUUGACAAGCAUGGUGGAGAAAGCCUCCAUUGAAGACGUGAUGAAAGUACUAAUAGCUUCAAGAAAGCAAGACAUGCAUCAGUUAUGGACCACAUGCUCCUACCUAGUCGCCAAAUCUGGUUUUCCAACAGAAAUUCUAGCCAAACAUCUCCCAAUCGAACUCUUAGGCAAGGUUGAGGAGCUUCGUCUCAAAUCAUCGAUACCUCUACGUUCUCUAAUGCCUCACCAACAAGACCAAAACUCGGCUCUAAACCUAGAGGACCAGAAGAUCAAGAGGAUGAGACGAGCAUUAGACUCCUCGGAUUUUGAGCUAGUAAAGCUAAUGGUUAUGGGAGAAGGACUCAAUCUAGACGAGUCAUUAGCUUUGUUUUACGCGGUGGAGAAUUGUAGUAGAGAGGUUGUGAAGGCACUUCUUGAGCUUGGAGCAGCUGAUGUGAACCAUCCGGCAGGUCCCACCAGGAAAACCGCACUCCACAUCGCAGCUGAGAUGGUCUCUCCGGAUAUGGUGGCCGUGUUACUUGACCACCAUGCUGAUCCAACCGUUCAGACAGUUGAUGGUAUCACUCCUCUUGACAUCCUUAGAACCCUAACUUCAGAUUUCUUGUUUAAGGGGACAAUUCAUGGAUUGACUCACAUUGAGCCUAAUAAGCUCAGACUUUGUCUCGAGCUGGUCCAGUCUGCUGCAAUGGUGAUUUCUCGAGAAGAAGGGAACAAUAACAAUAACGUUAACAACACCGUGAUCUACCCUAGGAUGAAAGACAAACGCACGAAGGGGAGUAGUUUGGAUUCAAGAUUGGUUUAUCUUAAUCGUGGAGCUACAAAUCCGGAUUUUGGAGAUGAACAUGGCAUUCAAACGGAAGAAACGGGCCUGCAUCAUCAUCAUUAUCAUGACCCGUCAACGAUGUAUCAUCAUCAUCACCACCACCACUUCUAGGUUUUCUUCUAAGACGAUCAUUUUCUAGUUAUGAUAAGACAUAUUCAAGAACUAGUUAAUUUUUGGUUGUGGUCUUUUUCUAUGUGAAUAUAUGGACAUGCGACACAUGCCAACAAAUGUAAACGUUUAUUCCAUGAAAAGUGAAAGGAAAUGAGAAGACAAAGGAGGCCACAAACAAAAGGGCCAUUUACUUAUGUAGAAUAUAAAAACAACAAUAGUUUAUUUGUUUUUGGAAUCAAUGAAGCCUUUUAUAAAAAAAAUGAGACACUAAAAAUAGUUUUGACCAUAUAUAUACACUAGAUUCGGAUUUAUGCGUCGCGGAAGUAACUGUAUAACAAAACAAAACAAAAAUAUAUAACUAUCUCAAUUAUCAAAGAUUCUUUUUAUUUAAGUCAAAUACAUAUGAUUAUAAAAUAUACAGUUCAUUUGAAUUGUCAUGUAUUUCAGUAAAAAAAUUAUUGUGUUAAAAAAAAAAAAAAAACUUCACGACAAUGUUAACGUGUACAAAUACAAUAGGUUAAACCCAAGUAAUUAUUCGACUCUUGAAGAAAUCUCGAAUAUUGGGUAAUUAUGAUUUCAGUGAAACUCAAACUGACAUUCUCAAAAGAUUUUCAUUUGCAAUUCCAAGUUAUACAGAGCGUCUAUCUAAAACUUAAAAAUAUGGUAGAUCAGUUAAGCUCGAGCAUUAACUUAUGUAUAACAUUAUUCUUUAGAAAUCGUAGUUAAAUCAUUAAUUAAUUUUUUCUUUGGUGGCAGAAUAAAAUAACAAUCAAACAAAAAGUUUCAUCACUAAAAUAAAUUUUUUACAAAAUAUAAAGGACUGUACUACAAAAUUUAAAAGUAACCAUAUAAGAUUUACAACAUAUUUCUUUCCAAAAAAGGAAACAUCAACCAUUACUCGUGGUGGCUUAGGUUCGUAUCCACCACCGUCUCUACCUCCGCGUCUCCGUCUUCAGACGCCGAGCUACCUCUAUCAAUAUCCUUCUCCGGAGAAUCAAGCUGAACGCACUCGGGAGCUUCAUCAACGUUUUGCC
rnacentral:lncRNA from 1 species